AAUUUAUAUGAUUUUAAUCAUUUCUUUGUUGAAUUUAAACAUUUCCCUAUAUGGUUUCAACCUUUGGUCUGACAAAACUUGAGACAGUCGUAAACGUAACCGAGGUCACACAUAUUAUGGAUGACAUCUCGGUAGCUACUAUGGUUAACGAUUUUAGUUCGUAAUGCUGACAUGCAAAAAUAGAACGCAAACAGAAUAGUUCACCGACGUGUGGCCAAAGAUGAUAAUGAAUUCCAAAAUACGAUUGUCUUUAUAGUCCAUUGAAAAUAGUUAACACCAGAUGAAGUAAAUAAAAAGCAACAACUAUGCCUAAGCAUUACCAUAGGAGACGACACCUUGGCUUAAGAAUCUAUCCUCUUCAACCUAUGCAAGGCGUGCUUUCUUUGUUGUUUGUUGAUUAUGAACAUGUUGGGAUCAUUAGUUUUUUAAAAAAAUGUCGGGAUCAGUAACUAUGUGGCUGAUGCACUUGUCUUAUCUUUUUCACUUGACUGUGUUUCAGAUAAAUCAGAGAAAGAAGAAUAAAAUCAUAUUUAUUAAUCAUUAAUGAAAAUAAAUUAGUUUAUACAACUUUAAUGUGAUUUAUAUUAAAAAUAUGUAUGGUUUUAGAUAAAAUAUAAAAAUACAUGUUGCAGAAUUUAUAUAAAUUGGUUUCUAGUUUCAAAUCUAUCCAGUCUGAAUGAAUAUGGUAGUCACUUUGGUUUAGUUUUUUUCUUUGUUUAUUUGUUUUCUUGCAUUUUUUAUGUAUCUAUAUUCGUUAAAACCAAAACAUCAAAAAUAUCUAAUUAUGUAUGAAUUUUCUUUUAAAAAAAUUAGCUUAGGGCAUCCUAAUACAGUAGACCGGCACUGUUUAUUAUAACUGGAAUUUCUUAUAUGUCAGUUUUUUUCUAGUCCAUUCUCAUCGUGUUAGGGGAUGUGAGUUUGAAAAGUAUAACAUUAUAUUGGCCACAUCAAGUUAGGGGUGGAGAAAAUAUCCGCAAAUUUUGAUUCGAUCCGUUAUUCGUUUUGAUUUGAUCCGAAAAAUCCGGAUAUCCGUAACUUAAUGAAUCAAAGCAAAUACUAAAAUUCAAUAUCCGUCAAAGACGAAGCAAAUCACAAAUACUAAUAUUUUUAAAAAUGGAUAUCCGAUUCGAUCCGUUAUAUACAUAUAUAUGUAUACAUGUUCAUAAAAUUAUAUAAUAUAUACACUUUAAUAUCUCUAUAUAAGUUUUAUAAUGUAUUUAUUCACUAAAUUUAUUAUUUAGUUAUUGAAAAUUUUAAAAGUAUGUAAUUUUUAAAAAAAAAUUAUAAUGAAAAAUUAUUAUUUUAUAUAAGAUUUUUUUUAUUUUUCUUUUAUUUUUUAUUUUAUUAUUUAUUUUAUUAUUUUUACGGAUCAGAUCGGAUAUCCGGUAAAAAUUUAGAUUUUUACGGAUAUCCGAAAAAAUACUGAUCGAAUCGAAAAAUCAAUUAUUCGUAGGGAACAGAGCGGAUUACGGAUAUCCUUAAAAUUCCGGAUAUCCGCUCCGUGCCCACCCCUACAUCAAGUACAACAACACCAUCCCUAUAUUCCUAUCAAAUAGUAGUGGAAACUUUGUUGGAUGUUCUGUAUUUAAGCAGAUGCUUGGAAAAGGUUCUUUAAGCGCAUGAAUCUAAAUUAAUGUUGUCCCUUGAAGAGGUAAAAUUUUGGUAGAGCAAGUUGCACAAUUGAGAAGAAGCUAAUGAGUUUGAAGAUAAUGUUAAUGACCAAAACAUAAAAAUGUGUUAAUAAGGAACACACAUAUAUAUGAUAUGAGAAAGUAUAAACUUCAGGAUCAAUGUCGCUGUAGUGUAAACCAAGUUAAUCGUCCUCUCGUCUCUCGUCUUUUGUUCAUUCAAUCUUUGACAACAACCAAAAAAAGAAACAGAAUAAUGUAAAAAGGGGUAAAUCACAAUAGCAAACAUGAUAGUCUUUUAUGUAUUACAGAUUUAAAACACAACUUAUAAAGUACAAAAACACAGCACAUGCUUGCAAAGGAGAAUACCUGAACUUCAAAACUAAUUAUUCCUUAGUAAGAAAAAUGUACAAAAAUAUAGACCUCAAAAUAUUGAAUAAGUUGUAUUUUUUUGUUGGGGUGUAGAGAGUAACAAAUGUAGAGCAACAGACACCAAAAGAAAUUGAAGAUGGUAAGCCCAUCGCUUCAUCGACUAUUGAAACCAUUUCUUCAGUUGAUCAUUAUGUCAUUGUUGUUGCUGCUGGAGCUCCUCCCCCAAGUUUGGUCUGUAAUAUCUUUCAACUUACUUGAUAACAAACCAAAGUAAAAACUGAAGUUCAAACUAAGCAAAUUACUAAACUAUAAGUAUAACUCUUGUAUUUGUGGUUAAUGAUUUAAGGUGAUCUCACACCGGCUCAAACACUUAACCUUUUUUCUUUUUUUUUUCUGUCAACCUUGACCUUCUCUGUUGAAAGAACUAAUUAAUUGUUUAUAUAAUAUCUGUGACAAAAAAAAAUAUCAGAGAAGAAAAAGAAAAAGCUAAUAAUAAAUGAUAUUCUUAGACAAAAUUUUAAUUACUAAACUAUAUUUAAUGUAGUAAUUUUCUUAAUUACUGAGAAUGAUUUACGUUAUUUGACAAAAACAAAACAAAUUUCAAAUGUUGAUAUCUAUCUCUGAGCAAAUCUAAAAUGCUAUAGAAUCGUAAUAAAAAUGAAUAGUUAUUUCAUAUUCAAGAAAUCAUAUAUUCAAAGAAUAUAAUUUAAAUAAAAAAAACGAAGAAUGCAAAAGAGAUAAUGAUGAAAGAUGUUCCUCUCUCCCCUUUCCAUUAUACUCUCUUCUUUCUAUCCUUUCUACCAUCAUCAGUAGCUUUCUCCUUCUCCGUCACCGCAUACAUCCUCUUCCUCUAUUCCCUCGCCGCCGCUUUCCUCCUACUCCGCUGUAAUCGUUUCCGGCGGUUGGGUCUUCCUCUGGGAAGUCUCGGGCUUCUCUCAUAGGUGAGAUUCUUCAGCUGUUCGGAGCUCACACGACGGAGAAUCUUGAGCCUUUCAUUGAUGAGAUUGUCGCCUCAUAAGGUUGGUUUUCAUGACGCAAAUAUUUGGUGAAUUGAAGUUCUUCUCAGCUGAACCGGGGACAAACCAGUUUGUUCUUCAACAAAGGAAAGCUUUUCGUGUGUUCUUUUCUUGCCUCCCUUCAAAUUCUAUGAACCGAUUCAUUCUGUAUUCUAUUGGUGGUGUUUGUGUUUCGGAUGGUUAUAAUGAUUGAGAGGGAGAAAGUGAUGAAUUUCACGAAAGCUACUUCCUUAUUUAUAGGUACAUAUUCGCAACCAUAGAAGGAGUGGUGUACUGAAUGCAGUGUAGUCGAAGGAGUGAUUCAGGGGUGUUAAUGAAAGCAUUUAUUAGGUUGAUUGAAAGCAAGAGUUUACGCUGCUGGACAUUGGGUUGAAUAUCAAUCGACAAAGACGGUGGCUUUACACAGAGCAAGCAGAAGAUAAGUCGGUGGAUUAUUUUCACAGAUGUGGGCUGUGUUAUGAAAUAAAUUUUGGGCCAAUGAAACCAUGCCCAAUAUCUGAGGCCAACCAUAAAUGUCAAACACGUGAGCCCAUUCCUUUUAACGAAACGAUUAGUUUAGUUAGAGAGGACACGUGUCACUCUUAGGAUCUGCGGCUUAAUGACGUGGCGUCACAUGAGAGAGGCAAACAUUUCUUUAUAUAUAUAGAUGUCUCUCUUAUUUGUCUUCCUACUUCCUACGAUUCUCAUUAUCUCUCUCGCUUCCGUUUUCCAUCAACAUGUCCUUCUUCGAUUCAGAGUCGACAUCCUAUGCCCGUGACUGGUGAUGUUAUAAGUUCUUUCGUCAGAUCACCUGCGGUCGUAAUCUCUCUCUCUCUUUUGAUCUUUUUGGUUGUGUUUAUGAUGUGGUUAGUCUAAUGACGUUUCAGGGCUGCUGCACGAGAUGCUUGGAUCUACCAAAACAAGAGAUUCAAAAGCUUGAAAGGUGUUUUUGUUGUUACUUCACUUUUUCUUUAGACUUUCUCCGUGUGGGUGUGGAAAACAGAAGGUUCUUUCAUCACAUUUGUUUAUUACCAACAACAGAGACUCUUCAUGUUUCAGGGGCUUUCAUGUUCCUAACCAAAUCCAGGAGGCCACUAUAUCUACAGACAAAGGAAAAAAAUUAGUUCUCAACCGAAAGCACUUGCAAACCAUUCCCAUUUCCCAGAGUUUACUCAUACAAUAUCACCUGAGAAGAUAUAGGAAUGCAAACCGGUUAAGAAUGGAGACACCAAUGGUAAUGGCAAAGAGAAGUGCUCAUGUGGUGAUUGGUGCCAAGAUUAAUCAGAUACAAGAGCUGACGGAUAUUACACGCCAACUUCAGGUCACCUUUACACUGACAAACACCUUAAGUCACAUAAGAGGUGAUAGACUAAUAAAUAUACAGAGACAGUCUUCUUCCAAUUUUUAUAAUAUUUUUACACCACUGUGCAUUUGUAUUUAUUUUCCAAAGUGAAGAUGUGUAGAUUCAAUCGAUUGUCUUUCUUUACUUGAAUUUCUAGAGAAUGUGGAAGAGCUGUAAUUAGAGGGUCAAUAUGAAUGUCUCGAUGUCAGGGUUGUAUAUCAUGUAUUUUAUGUGUUUGGAAUAUGUGUAUUUUCUAAAAUCUAAUUGAAGUUGAACUCAUUUGUCGAA